UACAGAGGUCCCAAGCGUUGUUCGGAUUCACUGGGCGUAAAGGGUGCGCAGGUGGUCGGGUAAGUCUGAUGUGAAAUCCCGCAGCUUAACUGCGGAAUGGCAUUGGAUACUAUUUGGCUAGAGGGUUGGAGGGGGGACUGGAAUUCCCGGUGUAGUGGUGAAAUGCGUAGAUAUCGGGAGGAACACCAGUGGCGAAGGCGACUUCCUGGCCUGUUCUUGACGCUGAGGCGCGAAAGCUAGGGGAGCAAACGGG
rnacentral:rRNA from 1 species